rnacentral:rRNA from 1 species
ACACGUAGGGGCCUGACGUUGUUCGGAAUCAUUGGGCGUAAAGGGCGCGCAGGCGGCCGUCCAAGUCCGGUGUUAAAUGGUCGGGCUCAACCCGAUCAUGCGCUGGAAACUGGGCGGCUUGAGUCCCGUAGGGGAUGCCGGAAUUCCAGGUGUAGGGGUGAAAUCUGUAGAUAUCUGGAAGAACACCGAUGGCGAAGGCAGGCAUCUGGCCGGAGACUGACGCUGAGGCGCGAAGGCGCGGGGAGCGAACAGGUUUAGAUACCCUGGUAGUCCGCGCAGUAAACGAUGCGCACCAGGUGUCGGGCGGCAGCGCCCGGUACCGGAGCAAACGCGAUGAGUGCGCCGCCUGGGGAGUAUGCCCGCAAGGGUGAAACUCAAAUGAAUUGACGGGG